UACAGAGGUCUCAAGCGUUGUUCGGAUUCAUUGGGCGUAAAGGGUGCGUAGGCGGCGCGGUAAGUCGGGUGUGAAAUCUCGGGGCUUAACUCCGAAACUGCAUUCGAUACUGCCGUGCUUGAGGACUGGAGAGGAGACUGGAAUUUACGGUGUAGCGGUGAAAUGCGUAGAUAUCGUAAGGAAGACCAGUGGCGAAGGCGGGUCUCUGGACAGCUCCUGACGCUGAGGCGCGAAGGCUAGGGGAGCAAACGGG
rnacentral:rRNA from 1 species